rnacentral:lncRNA from 1 species
AUUAUUAUUAUUAACAUUAUUACUAGCAGUUCCAGUCAGGAAGAGUGCUAGAAUCAGAUCUAAGUACAGCCUCAAUCAACUCACACAUGACCGCAUAUAUAUGUGGCACCAGGAAAUAAAUAAAUACAUUCAACUCCUGCAGAAUGCUGGAGAGUCCUAGUGGCUUGCAAGGAGACUGUCCCUGGAGCCCAAAGAGGGCAUCAGUGAGGGCAAAGGAAGCCCUGAAGAGACUGGAGGCACAGCGCGGCUUUGUUUAGGCUGCUCAGCCUCCUUGCCUAACAGCUGACGUGUGGGG